rnacentral:sRNA from 1 species
ACAGAACUGCAUAAGCAGGUGAAACUUCUUAGAGGGACUGGCGCUCAAAAAAGCGCACGAGAAAGAGCAAUAACAGGUCUGUGAUGCCCUAAGAUGUCCGGGGCCGCACGCGUGCUACAAUGACGAUGCUAGUGAGCAUGAUUAACUUGCCCGAAAGGGUAGGUAAAACUGUUCAAUCAUCGUCGUGACUGGGAUUGGGGUUUGCAAUUAUCCCCCAUGAACCAGGAAUUCCUAGUAAGCACAAGUCAUAAGCUUGUGCUGAUUACGUCCCUGCCCUUUGUACACACCGCCCGUCGCUACUACCGAUUGAAUGGCUUAGCAAGGUCAUUGGAUUGAGUUCUUGCAGUUAACCCUGCUUGGAUUCGAGAAGAUGCCCGAACUUGGUCAUUUAGAGGAAGUAAAAGUCGUAACAAGGUUUCCGUAGGUGAACCUGCGGAAGGAUCAUUAUCAAAUUCCUAACCCAAAUCCGCUAUGGCCUCACGGUCAUGGUGGUGCGCUUUUGGCGGUUUUUACUGCUCGGCGCAUUGUGAUACAGAAGUGGUUGGAGUGGUCUAGGCGGUAACCAUGUAUCGCUUAGUGCUGACUCCUUUUCACCCGCAACCCCCCCAGUCCGGUGGCUUGUCGGCAUGCACAGUUCGUGGCAGCGUUGUGUGUGUCGGCUUGUCUCCUUCAUUCAUUCUUUGGACUGGGCCUUGGUUGUCGUUGCCGCAAACCUCUCCUUCGAGGAGUUCCUGUCCCAUUACUCAUUGCCCAUUACGUGUGUUCGUUUGGUUGCUAGCCUUGUGCUGCCGAUGUAGGACUCCCGUCGCAAGAUGGUCGAGGCUCGCGGUAGGCGGUA